rnacentral:rRNA from 1 species
UACGGAGGAGGCAAGCGUUAUCCGGAAUUAUUGGGCGUAAAGCGUCCGCAGGCGGCUAAUCAAGUCUGCGGUCAAAGACCGGGGCUUAACCCUGGAAAGGCCGUGGAAACUGAUAGAGCUAGAGUACCGUAGGGGUAGAGGGAAUUCCUGGUGUAGCGGUGAAAUGCGUAGAUAUCAGGAGGAACACCUGUGGUGUAGACAGCUUGCUGGACCAUUACUGACGCUGAGGCACGAAAGCGUGGGUAGCAAACAGG